CCUACGGGUGGCUGCAGUGAGGAAUAUUGGUCAAUGGGCGCGAGCCUGAACCAGCCAAGCCGCGUGAAGGACGACUGUCCUACGGGUUGUAAACUUCUUUUAUAAAGGAAUAAAGUGAGGCACGUGUGCCUUUCUGUAUGUACUUUAUGAAUAAGGAUCGGCUAACUCCGUGCCAGCAGCCGCGGUAAUACGGAGGAUCCGAGCGUUAUCCGGAUUUAUUGGGUUUAAAGGGAGCGUAGAUGGGUUGUUAAGUCAGCUGUGAAAGUUUGCGGCUCAACCCUAGGAGUGCAAUUGAUACUGGCAGCCUUGAGUACAGGUGAGGUAGGCGGAAUUCGUGGUGUAGCGGUGAAAUGCUUAGAUAUCACGAAGAACUCCGAUUGCGAAGGCAGCCUACU
rnacentral:rRNA from 1 species